AAGAUUAUAUAAAUAAUGCUCAUAGAUAUAGUCAACAAGUGGAUGCGCACAACCAUAUCUUACGAUAACACGAAUUUGUAUAUGGUUAGAUAUCGUGUAUGAUAGUGGCAACACACCCUUUAAGUUCUUAGUACAAUUAUGUCCACCUCAUUUUAAUGGGGUGUAUUUUUAACGCUUCUAAAGUCGGGUUCUCAUCCCCCUAUUGUUGUUCACCAAAAAACAAUUAUUAAAUAACGUAUAAAAUACGGCACACAUAUUUUAAGUCCUCAAUACAAUUAUAUAUUGUCAUGCUAUUUUAUAAUGUAUUGAAAAACUUCAACAGUCACAGACCAUCACUCUAUUCCCCUGUUAUCCCCGCUCGACCCAGCUACACUCUUAUUACUUGAAAGUAAUUGUGAAGUAAAAGGGUGAGUACAAAUAACUAGUAAAGAAUAUUAUGACUAAAAAUAAUUAAAUUAUCAAUAACCUUCAUCAGUUAUAAAUCAGAUAUUUAGAACAUGUGGUAGAUGAUAAAAGUUUUCAACCAUAAUUGCAGCGGAAUCAACAAUCCAUUAGAAGAGUCAAGUAGAACAUAAUGUCUACUAUCUCCUCCAAAUUAAAUUUUCAUCAUUAAAUUUUCAUUCCUAUAAUACCCAUCAACAGUUUUUUGUUGUACCCAAAAUAAAGAGAACUUUAAUCACUUGUCUUCACCUGAACCACCAAAGAUUAUAGUUCAAUUCACAAUUCAUGUUUAUAAUCAUGUAAAUCAACAGUUUCUCCUUGCCACAAAGGCUUAAUAGAACGUUCACUCAAUAUUUGUGAGAGCCCCAAAUCACCACGGAUCUGGUACAAUCAUUCUAUAACUAUUGCGGAAGAUAUAAACAUAAAUUGUUUAUACAACAUACUUUACACACUUUUCCCCAAGGUCGAGUAACCUUCACUUAAUAUACAAUUCAUAACUUGUCUAACACAUAACAUUAUUAUCAUACUAUACUAUUACAAUUCUAACUGCACACGUAUACUAAAACUAGAACUGUCUUUGACCUUUCCUUGUAUCCGACGUAUUCAUCUUAAUCUGCAAUGUUUAUCAUGAUAUAGCAAGGGUGAGCAUAAGUUUGCCCAACAAGUAUAAGUUUAUUUAAGGAUAUACCAUGAUUGAAAGAAUUUGAAUAAUAAGCUG
rnacentral:lncRNA from 1 species